UGUAUAUUUUCCUUGUGUGUUAAAGAGUGUGAUCUUUGUGCUUAAUGUUGUAAUUAGCUCACUCUUGUGUUAAUGAAAAUGACAAGCAACAUUUGAGUCACUUGUUCUCCAAAAAAGGAAAUCAUAUGUGGCGACCAUUGCUCGGCGAGGGGUGCCAAACAAACCCAAUUUAAUGGCAGUUUUAGUUCUAAGAUGAGCACAAACGGUG
rnacentral:lncRNA from 1 species